rnacentral:rRNA from 1 species
AGUGAACGCUGGCGGUAGGCCUAACACAUGCAAGUCGAACGGCAGCACAGUAAGAGCUUGCUCUUACGGGUGGCGAGUGGCGGACGGGUGAGGAAUACAUCGGAAUCUACUUUUUCGUGGGGGAUAACGUAGGGAAACUUACGCUAAUACCGCAUACGACCUACGGGUGAAAGCAGGGGAUCUUCGGACCUUGCGCGAUUGAGUGAGCCGAUGUCGGAUUAGCUAGUUGGCGGGGUAAAGGCCCACCAAGGCGACGAUCCGUAGCUGGUCUGAGAGGAUGAUCAGCCACACUGGAACUGAGACACGGUCCAGACUCCUACGGGAGGCAGCAGUGGGGAAUAUUGGACAAUGGGCGCAAGCCUGAUCCAGCCAUGCCGCGUGGGUGAAGAAGGCCUUCGGGUUGUAAAGCCCUUUUGUUGGGAAAGAAAAGAAGCAGGUUAAUACCCCGCUGUUCUGACGGUACCCAAAGAAGAAGCACCGGCUAACUUCGUG